rnacentral:lncRNA from 1 species
ACACCUGGCUAAUUAAAAAAAAAAUUUUCUUGUAGAGUCAAAUCUGACUAUGUUGCUCAUGCUGGUUGAACUCCUGGGCUCAAGUGGUAUUCUCACCUAGGCCUCUUAAAGUGCUGAGAUUACAGGCCUGAGCCACAGAAAAUGGAGCAGGUCAAUCACCCAGUAGGGCUUGUUACCAGUGUGGUUUGCAAGGACACCUCAAAAAAGAUUGUCCAAUGAGAAACAAGCUGCCCCCUCGCCCAUGUCCUCUAUGCCAAGGCAAUCACUGGAAGGCACACUGCCCUAGAAGGCAGUGGUUCUCUGGGCCAGAAGCCCUCAACCAGAUGAUCCAACAACAGGACUGAAUGUGCCUGGGGCAAGCACCAGCUCAUGUCCUCACCCUUACUGAGCCUUGGGGAGGUUUAACCAUUGACGGCCAGAAAAUUGACUUCCUCCUGGACACUGGCAUGACUUUCUCAGUGUUAAUCUCCUGUCCCAG